GAUGUCCUGGCUGUGCGGUGCUGGUAACCGAUGAAGAGUCUGCUUUUUAAGCUCUAAAAGGUCAUUGCCAAGGUAUGCUGAUCUGCUGUCCGACUGCAAGUGUUCCUCCAACUGCACCUAUCUGAAGUAGAGCUGUACCAGUGACCUGGCCUGAUUGCCAUCGACUUGGAAGGCUCUGCGAGACUUUAGUCUGACCAAGAGCCUGUGCUAACACGGUUUCUCCCAGCGCUGGUUGACCCGCCUCAUUUAAGUGCCUCGAUUUGCUACUGGUCGAAGUCAGAAAGUGGUUUGCCGAGUUUAAACCAAUAACAACACUCUUUCCUCUGCCUUGAACAUGCCUCUACCCAGAGCCGUUGGAGCUGCUCAAAGUUGAUUGGUUCUCGACCAAAGGGGGCAGUUCCGCAGAUUUCGGGAAUUCAGAAAUCCUUCCUGAUUAGCAGUUGACCAGACCAGUGACAGCAACGCCGAAGGUGUUACGUCACUGGGAGGGUGUGCCAGGCUACCAGUGACCACAAGUUAAAGAUUUUUGCCCACCGACAUCAAGAAGUAGUCUGAGAUGCACCCAUGACAGCUGAAUUAAGACGAGGUGGCCAACAUUUUCAAUGUGC